GGAAUAUUGCCCAAUGGGGGAAACCCUGAGGCAGCAACGCCGCGUGGACGAAGACGGCCUUCGGGUUGUAAAGUCCUUUUCUGGGGGAAGAUAAUGACGGUAACCCAGGAAUAAGUUCCGGCUAACUACGUGCCCGCAGCCGCGGUAAAACGUAGGGGACAAGCGUUAUCCGGAUUUAAUGGGCGUAAAGCGCACGUAGGCGGUGCGGUAAGUUGGCCGUGAAAGCUCCCGGCUUAACUGGGAGAGGUCGGACAAAACUGCCGUGCUUGAGGCUGAGAGAGGAGAGCGGAAUUCCCGGUGUAGUGGUGGAAUGCGUAGAUAUCGGGAGGAACACCAGUGGCGAAGGCGGCUCUCUGGCUCAGAACUGACGCUGAGGUGCGAAAGCGUGGGGAGCGAAC
rnacentral:rRNA from 1 species